rnacentral:rRNA from 1 species
CCUACGGGAGGCAGCAGUAGGGAAUAUUGCUCAAUGGGGGAAACCCUGAAGCAGCAACGCCGCGUGGAGGAUGAAGGUUUUCGGAUUGUAAACUCCUUUUGUUAGAGAAGUAAAUGACGGUAUCUAACGAAUAAGCAAUGGCUAACUCCGUGACAGCAGCCGCGGUAAUACGGAGGGUGCAAGCGUUACUCGGAAUCACUGGGCGUAAAGAGCGCGUAGGCGGGAUAGCAAGUCAGAGGUGAAAUCCUAUGGCUUAACCAUAGAACUGCAUGUGAAACUGUUAUUCUAGAGUAUGGGAGAGGUAGGUGGAAUUCGUGGUGUAGCGGUAAAAUCCGUAGAGAUCAAGAGGAAUACUCAUUGCGAAGGCGACCUGCUAGAACAUGACUGACGCUGAUGCGCGAAAGCGUGGGGAGCGAACAGGAUUAGAUACCCCAGUAGUC